GACGAACGCUGGCGGCGUGCUUAACACAUGCAAGUCGAACGAUGACGCCCGAGCUUGCUCGGUCUGAUUAGUGGCGAACGGGUGAGUAACACGUGAGCAACCUGCCCUUCACUCUGGGAUAACCUCGGGAAAUCGGGGCUAAUACCGGAUAUGAGCUCCUGUCGCAUGGCGGGUGUUGGAAAGUUUUUCGGUGAAGGAUGGGCUCGCGGCCUAUCAGUUUGUUGGUGAGGUAGUGGCUCACCAAGGCGAUGACGGGUAGCCGGCCUGAGAGGGCGACCGGCCACACUGGGACUGAGACACGGCACAGACUCCUACGGGAGGCAGCAGUGGGGAAUAUUGCACAAUGGGCGAAAGCCUGAUGCAGCGACGCCGCGUGAGGGAUGACGGCCUUCGGGUUGUAAACCUCUUUCAGCAGGGAAGAAGCGAAAGUGACGGUACCUGCAGAAGAAGCGCCGGCUAACUACGUG
rnacentral:rRNA from 1 species